UACGGGGGGGGUAAGCGUUGUUCGGAAUUACUGGGCGUAAAGGGCUCGUAGGCGGCCAACUAAGUCGGAUGUGAAAUCCCCAGGCUCAACCUGGGAACUGCAUCCGAUACUGGAUGGCUUGAAUCCGGGAGAGGGAUGCAGAAUUCCAGGUGUAGCGGUGAAAUGCGUAGAUAUCAGGAGGAAUACCGAUGGCGAAGGCAGGUCUCUGGGCUGACACUGACGCUCAUGCACGAAAGCGUGGGGAGCAAACAGG
rnacentral:rRNA from 1 species